rnacentral:lncRNA from 1 species
UUUUAUAUGAUAGAAUAAGAGUAUGAAGUAAUUUUUAAAAGAUAUUAAAAUAUAUAAUAUGGUUAAAUUUUAAUUAACUAAUCAUGUAUACUAUGUGAAAUAUCUUAGUUAGUUUUAUAUUUACAGUAGUGUGAUAGGUUUGAGGAGUGGGUUGAAAUUAUGAGUGCAAGUUAUAAUAUACGAGGGGUGAAAAUAGAAAGUUUUGAGUGCAAGCUAUAAAAUAGGUUUGAGGAGUGGGUUAAAAUAGAAGGGGGUGUGCGUUUAGCAAACAAGAGGUCCAAUGAUCUUCUCAUGAAUUAUUAGAAGCUGAAACUUCUCCCUAUCUUGAAUUAUGACAUCACGUACUCAAUUUCCAUCUUUUUCUUCUCUUCAAAAACUAACCACCCUAUUCUCUUCGUCUCCAC